rnacentral:autocatalytically_spliced_intron from 1 species
AACCGCCUAGUGCGGAACCGCAUGCUAGGUGGUGUGAGAGGUCGGGGGUUAUCACCCCCUCCUACUCAAU